UUUGAACAAUUUCUCUUAUUUCACAUACUCUCUCUGUCUCUCUCUCUAAACCUGCUUCCGCUGAUCGCUUUCUCGUCUUUUCUCGCCGAUUUUCCUUCCCGCCAAACACUGUCUUCCGCCGCUUCGCCGAUCCUCGAUUCCUCCUCCUUCUCAUUCCUAUCCGGUUGUCUAGUACAAUUGCUUGGUAAGCUUUUGUGUUAGUAGAUGCCAAUUGCAAAACUCAGAGCCUCUGGCACUCCAGAUGUUAUGAAAACAGAAGACAGAAUAGAUACCAUAAUCAGACAGGCAAUUGGAAAAGAACCUUUUGUUUCUUUUCCAAGGGCCAGUGACAGCCCUGUACAGUGGAUUCAAUUACUCCAUGCUUUAGAUCCACAAGGUGUUAGCAAUUCUUUUUCAGAAUUUCCAGGGUGGCCUUUGCUCUCUCCUCUGAAGGUUCAGUUGCAGAAGUGUGACAAAUGUACCCGAGAGUUUUGCUCCCCCAUUAACUAUAGAAGACAUAUACGUGUACAUCAUCGGUUAAAAAAGAUUGAUAAGGAUUUUACAAAAUCUAGGGAUCUUUUAGGAGCAUAUUGGGAUAAGCUAUCUGUAGAAGAGGCAAAGGAAGUUGUAUCAUUCGAAAAUGUGGCACUGGAGGAAGUUCCAGGUUCUUCAAUUUUAAAAUCUCUGACUACUCUAAUUCAAAAUCAAGGAUUUUAUUCACUUCCUCAGUAUUAUUUGAUGGCUGGUGCUGCCCUUUUGGAUAUCGUUCAAUCUAAACCUUCCAGUUUUCCUAUAUCAUCCCAGGAGUUGUUCAGCAUCCUUGAUGAUGCUAGUGAAAAAACAUGUUUAUGUGGGACAGCUGUGUCAAUGCAAAGAUAUGUAUUUGAUGGAGAGGUUGGAAAAAUUGGUCUUGAACCAAAAAAUUUAGUUGCUUGCACAAGUUUCUUGCUAGAACAGAAAUUGGUGAAGGCAUGGCUUGCUGACAAGGAUGCUGAAGCACUGAGGUGCCAGAAGCAAUUGGUGGAGGAGGAAGAAGCUGCUCAGAAAAGACAAGCUGAGAUUUUGGAGAGGAAACGCCUGAAGAAGAUUAGACAAAAAGAACAGAAAGCUAGGGAACAAAGACACAAAUCUGAGGCAGAAAUUAAAGACAAUAUUGACAUUGCUGUGAAGGCUUUAUCACUGGCAGAAGCAUCUUUAGAUACAUACAAUUUUGAAGAUCAUAAUCCAAAUACAUUUGCAGAUAACUCAGCUUCAGAUGUAUCUUUCCAAUGCCCUGACACCAAUGAAGAAAUAAAUGGAGAUACUCAUUCAGAGCACGACUCUGUCACGGAUCAGAAUAUUGAGGGAGAUUCAGCAAAUGGACCUAAACAUCAACGUCUAGCAGUUGCCAGACAACAGGGGUUGCCAAAAUCACCAAGGCCUGUUGCCACUGGUUUGCAUACAAACCAUAAUUCUUCAAUGUCAAAACCUGAAGUCAUUCAGAAAUAUGGAACCCACUGUGAUCAAAAGGCAUCUACUAUAGCUAAUGGUGGUAAAGUAUGGAGCCGGAAGUCUAAAACAGAAAUAGACAAGGUGGUUUUAAAAUCCAUAAAAGAGAAAGAAUCUGACCAGGUUAAGAAUCAAGAAGUUUUGAUAGGAUCCAUAUCUGUUAAUCUUGGCAAUUGCAGCCAAUCAGAUGGUAAUAUGGUGGCUUCUCAAGAGAACUGCGUGGUUGAAAAUGUGGCCAAGCAGAAUAGUUCUCGAGAUAAGCCAAUGAAAACUGAUUCUAUCCUGAGUGGCAACAAUCGCCCAACAGUUAAGCUUUGGAGGCCAGUUAGCCGGCUUGAAACUAAAGAUCCACUUCCGGUUCAAAGUGGUGGGACAGAAAUUGAUGCAGCUCAUGAAGAUGGUCAAAAUAUGUCAGGUCCAAGUUUUUUAAGGGUGUGUAAUACAGAUGGCGGUGGCAAUCUUGGCUUUGAAAAGAAUUUCCCCCAUGUAGAGGAUACAGAGCAUCCAGAAAGCUUGCGGUUGUUCUGCCGUGCUGCAAAAGCUUUUCUACAAAAAAGAUGGGAUGAAGCUAUUGCAUCCGAGGAUGUGACAGUGCUUGUUUGCUCUGACACAGAAUCUUCUGGUGAGUGCCAGGGGAGGGAGACACAGGAUUUGAAAAUUGAAUCAUGUCAAUCUUCUGACGCGGAGAGAUGCAACAUUGUGGCAAAUGCAGAUAACAGAACCCCCAGGGUUACCAAAUCCAAACCCAGAUUGAAGAAGUCUGAAAAGGGAAUCAAGACAAAGUAUAUUCCCAAACAGAAGACAGUAAUUACCUAAUGUGAAAGAAUAAAUUGGGUUAGUUAGUUAUACAGGUAUUCUAUUAUUUGAGAUAAUUCAAUGAUCUCGAAAUUUUUUAGCCCAACACUUUCUCGAUUUACUGUUCAGCGCAGCUUGUGAAGGUGUCGUCUAUCGUCGUAGAUAUUGGAGCAACCAGGAUGUCACCCUUAAAACAUGUUGAUUAACUUAGGAUUAGAAGGGAGAUUUUUUUGAAAGAUGAAUAUCCAUCCCAUUGUGUAAUAUUGGUAUGGCACUUUUGGAUGCUAGUUGUUGAAAACCCUCAUUGAGUAGAUGAUAACUCUUGGAGUAAAUUUUCAAGUCUCCUCUAAGUUCUUAGUCAAUGUUGAAAUAAGGUAUGAAAUCAAUGACUAUCACCUUUAACUGAUUA